GCACUAAACGCACCGUUUUACCCCAUUAUAAGACUUACAAUUUUUUUCCUUAUUUCUUUGUUUGUUUCAAAGAAGAAUGACCUUCUCUCUUUUCCUCUCUAACCAACCCAAAGGUCAGUCACCGACCAUCGCUGGUCUGUCGCCGGCGACCCCCAUGCACGGUGGUUGGAGUUCCAAAACCCUCAUUUUUCCCCUUUUUUAAACUUAGAACUCGGAUCUAGUGCCCAUUUUGAAAAAAAAAAUUGAAAGUCUUCAAGAAAACGAACCAAAAACCUUCAUGUAUUUUAGGGCCUUGUAUUUUUUUAAAGAAACAAAGAAGGAAAACAGGCUUCGUCACGGUUCAUCGGCGGUGACGUCCUCUUCUGACCCACAAUAUCAAACCCUUCGGCUUAAGGUGGCGUGGUGGACGUGGGCACUGACGUACCGCGCACAACACGGAGGGGCGCGCGACGUGCAGGCACGAGCGGCGACUUGCCUAGGGUUUUCCUCUUUUUUGCUGAAAAAGUCUUUGGGCUUGUAAUUUUGGGCUAGAGUUUAGGGUUUUUUGGUUUGGGUUUUGUUGUAUUUGGACUUACAAAAAACUAGACUAUUGUUUAUUGGGACCCGGGCUAAAAUUGGGCCCUACAAUAUAUGUACACACUUGAUGUACACACAUAAAUGAUACAGUUAAAAUAAUAUAUGUAUUAGAUUUUUUAUAAA